rnacentral:rRNA from 1 species
GGAAUAUUGCACAAUGGGCGCAAGCCUGAUGCAGCAACGCCGCGUGAGUGAAGAAGUAUUUCGGUAUGUAAAGCUCUAUCAGCAGGGAAGAAAGGCCCUUCGGGGAGAUGACGGUACCUGACUAAGAAGCCCCGGCUAACUACGUGCCAGCAGCCGCGGUAAUACGUAGGGGGCAAGCGUUAUCCGGAUUUACUGGGUGUAAAGGGAGCGCAGACGGCAGUGCAAGUCUGAUGUGAAAGCCCGGGGCUCAACCCCGGAACUGCAUUGGAAACUGUACAGCUUGAGUGUCGGAGAGGUAAGCGGAAUUCCUAGUGUAGCGGUGAAAUGCGUAGAUAUUGGGAAGAACACCGGUGGCGAAGGCGGCCUGCUGGACGAUAACUGACGUUGAGGCUCGAAGGCGUGGGGAGCAAACA